AGAAUUGAUCUGGUCAGGACGAACGCUGGCGGCGUGCUUAACACAUGCAAGUCGAACGAGGGUAUGGAGAGCUUGCUCGAAGGUAACCCGAGUGGCGGACGGGUGAGUAACGCGUGAGCAACCUGUCUCACACAGGGGGAUAACGCAUCGAAAGAUGUGCUAAUACCGCAUGAGACCACGGAAGGACAUCCUUCAAAGGGGGUCAAAGGAGGAAUCCGGUGUGAGGUGGGCUCGCGUCUGAUUAGAUAGUUGGUGAGGUAACGGCUCACCAAGUCAACGAUCAGUAGCCGACCUGAGAGGGUGAUCGGCCACAUUGGGACUGAGACACGGCCCAGACUCCUACGGGAGGCAGCAGUGGGGAAUAUUGGGCAAUGGGCGCAAGCCCUGACCCAGCAACGCCGCGUGAGGGAAGAAGGUUUUCGGAUUGUAAACCUCUGUCCUGUAUGAAGAGAAGGAGACGGUAGUACAGGAGGAAGCCCCGGCUAACUACGUGCCAGCCGCAGC
rnacentral:rRNA from 1 species